GAUGAACGCUAGCUACAGGCUUAACACAUGCAAGUCGCGGGGCAGCAUGAAUUUAGCUUGCUAAAUUUGAUGGCGACCGGCGCACGGGUGAGUAACGCGUAUCCAACCUGCCCAUGUCCACGGGAUAGCCCGUCGAAAGGCGGAUUAAUACCGUAUGAGGUCACAUGCGGGCAUCUAAGUGUGACGAAAGGUUUGGCGGACAUGGAUGGGGAUGCGUCCGAUUAGCUAGUUGGCGGGGUAACGGCCCACCGAGACGACGAUCAGUAGGGGUUCUGAGAGGGAAGUCCCCCACAUUGGAACUGAGACACGGUCCAAACUCCUACGGGAGGCAGCAGUGAGGAAUAUUGGUCAAUGGGCGGAAGCCUGAACCAGCCAAGUAGCGUGCAGGACGACGGCCCUAUGGGUUGUAAACUGCUUUUAUGCGGGGAUAAAGUGGGCCACGCGUGGCCUUUUGCAGGUACCGCAUGAAUAAGGACCGGCUAAUUCCGUG
rnacentral:rRNA from 1 species